GUCUAUGGCCAUACCACCCUAAAUACACCUGAUCUCAUCUGAUCUCAGAAGCUAAGCAAGGUCAGGCCUGGUUAGUACU
rnacentral:rRNA from 1 species